CCGGUAGUUCAGUAGGUUAGAACGCCAGCCUGUCACGCUGGAGGUCAAGGGUUCGAACCCCUUUCG
rnacentral:tRNA from 1 species